UGGGGAAUUUUGGACAAUGGGCGAAAGCCUGAUCCAGCAAUGCCGCGUGUGUGAAGAAGGCCUUCGGGUUGUAAAGCACUUUUGUCCGGAAAGAAAUCCUUGGCUCUAAUACAGUCGGGGGAUGACGGUACCGGAAGAAUAAGCACCGGCUAACUACGUGCCAGCAGCCGCGGUAAUACGUAGGGUGCAAGCGUUAAUCGGAAUUACUGGGCGUAAAGCGUGCGCAGGCGGUUUGCUAAGACCGAUGUGAAAUCCCCGGGCUCAACCUGGGAACUGCAUUGGUGACUGGCAGGCUAGAGUAUGGCAGAGGGGGGUAGAAUUCCACGUGUAGCAGUGAAAUGCGUAGAGAUGUGGAGGAAUACCGAUGGCGAAGGCAGCCCCCUGGGCCAAUACUGACGCUCAUGCACGAAGGCGUGGGGAGCAAAACAGGAUUAGAUACCCUGGUAGUCCACGCCCUAAACGAUGUCAACUAGUUGUUGGGGAUUCAUUUCCUUAGUAACGUAGCUAACGCGUGAAGUUGACCGCCUGGGGAGUACGGUCGCAAGAUUAAAACUCAAAUGAAUUGACGGGGUCAUAGCUGUUUCCU
rnacentral:rRNA from 1 species